rnacentral:rRNA from 1 species
GACGAACGCUGGCGGCGUGCUUAACACAUGCAAGUCGAACGCUGAAGCCCUUCGGGGUGGAUGAGCGGCGAACGGGUGAGUAACACGUGGGUAAACUGCCCUGCACUCUGGGAUAAGCCUUGGAAACGGGGUCUAAUACCGGAUAGGACACAUCGCCGCAUGGUGUGUGUGUGGAAAGUUCCGGCGGUGCAGGUUGAGCCCGCGGCCUAUCAGCUUGUUGGUGGGGUGAUGGCCUACCAAGGCGACGAUGGGUAGCCGGCCUGAGAGGGUGACCGGCCACACUGGGACUGAGACACGGCCCAGACUCCUACGGGAGGCAGCAGUGGGGAAUCUUGCGCAAUGGGCGAAAGCCUGACGCAGCAACGCCGCGUGGGGGAUGACGGCCUUCGGGUUGUAAACCUCUUUCGACCGGGACGAAGGAUUCGUUUGACGGUACCGGUAGAAGAAGCACCGGCUAACUACGUGCCAGCCGCCGCGGUAAAAC